AGUGAACGCUGGCGGUAGGCCUAACACAUGCAAGUCGAACGGCAGCACAGUAAGAGCUUGCUCUUACGGGUGGCGAGUGGCGGACGGGUGAGGAAUACAUCGGAAUCUACUUUCUCGUGGGGGAUAACAUAGGGAAACUUACGCUAAUACCGCAUACGACCUACGGGUGAAAGCAGGGGAUCUUCGGAACUUGCGCGAUUGAAUGAGCCGAUGUCGGAUUAGCUAGUUGGAGGGGUAAAGGCCCACCAAGGCGACGAUCCGUAGCUGGUCUGAGAGGAUGAUCAGCCACACGGGAACUGAGACACGGUCCAGACUCCUACGGGAGGCAGCAGUGGGGAAUAUUGGACAAUGGGCGAAAGCCUGAUCCAGCCAUACCGCGUGGGUGAAGAAGGCCUUCGGGUUGUAAAGCCCUUUUGUUGGGAAAGAAAAGCAGCAGGUUAAUACCCCGCUGUUCUGACGGUACCCAAAGAAUAAGCACCGGCUAACUUCGUG
rnacentral:rRNA from 1 species